rnacentral:rRNA from 1 species
UCCUGGGGCCGGAGAAGGUCCCAAGGGUCGGGCUGUUCGCCCGUUAAAGCGGUACAUGAGCUGGGUUUAGAACGUCGUGAGACAGUUCGGUCUGUAUCCGUCGUGGGCGUUGGAGUAUUGAGGGGAGCUGCUCCUAGUACGAGAGGACCGGAGUGGACUGACCACUCGUGUACCGGCUGUUCCGCCAGGGGCAUCGCCGGGUAGCGACGUCGGGAAGGGAUAACCGCUGAAAGCAUCUAAGUGGGAAGCCCCCCCCAAGAUGAGUACUCCCAGACAUCAGUCUCGGAAGGGCCGUGCGAGACUAGCACGUUGAUAGGCGGCAAGUGGAAGCGUGGAGACACGUGUAGCUGAGCCGUACUAAUGGCCCGAGAGGCUUGACCA